rnacentral:rRNA from 1 species
UAAGGAAUAUUGGUCAAUGGACGCAAGUCUGAACCAGCCAUGCCGCGUGAAGGAUGAAGGUCCUCUGGAUUGUAAACUUCUUUUAUGUGGGAAGAAACCACCUUUUUCUAAGGGUGUUGACGGUACCAUAGGAAUAAGCACCGGCUAACUCCGUGCCAGCAGCCGCGGUAAUACGGAGGGUGCAAGCGUUAUCCGGAUUCACUGGGUUUAAAGGGUGCGUAGGCGGAAUUGUAAGUCCGUGGUGAAAUCUCCAAGCUUAACUUGGAAACUGCCAUGGAUACUAUAGUUCUUGAAUGUUGUGGAGGUUUGCGGAAUAUGUCAUGUAGCGGUGAAAUGCUUAGAUAUGACAUAGAACACCGAUUGCGAAGGCAGCAGGCUACACAAAUAUUGACGCUGAGGCACGAAAGCGUGGGGAUCAAACA